rnacentral:rRNA from 1 species
AUGGUCGCCGUCUUCAACAAGGACGUCCUGAGCUGGUACCUCAUCACGCUCAAGCUCAAGGAGACCGUCGACGCCAACCUCAAGAAGUCCCCGUCGCCGCACUGGCAGGCGCUCCCCCGCAGCCUGCUCGUCGCCAACGGCACGCCGGGGGCAGCGGAGACACUGACGCGCCAAGACCGGGACCAGCAGGCCGCGGUCCCGUCGGCGCAGUCACCGGCGCACAGUCCCAAGCCGCAGGACCCGGAAUGGGUGGUGACCAUCCGCGGGAAGCUGGCGCAGGCGCGCGCGGAGGAGGCGGCGUGCCCGUGGGCGCGGCUGUCCGUGUACCGGGUGCCCAAGUCCCUCCGCGAGGGCGACGAGCGCGCCUACACGCCGCAGGUGGUGUCCAUCGGCCCGCUCCACGCCGGCAAGCGGCGGCUGCGUGAGAUGGAGCGCCACAAGUGGCGCGCGCUGCACCACGUGCUCAAGCGCACGGGCCACGACGUCACCGCCUACCUGGACGCGCUGCGGCCCAUGGAGGAGCGGGUGCGGUCGUGCUACGACGGCCGCGUCGCCUGGAUGCCGGCCAACGACUUCGCGCAGUGCCUGGUGCUGGACGGGACCUUCGUGCUGGAGCUUUUCCGCGGCGCGCUGGACGGCGCCAAGGGGUUCGUGGACGAUCUGGGCUACUCGCGGCACGACCCCGUCUUUGCCAUGCGCGGCGCCAUGCACGCCAUCCGCAACGACAUGAUCCUGCUCGAGAACCAGAUACCGCUGUUCGUGCUGGACCUGCUGCUCGGGAUCCAGCUGGGCCACCCGGAGCAGACCGGGGCCGUGGCCAGCCUCGCCGUGCGGUUCUUCGACCCGCUGAUGCCGACGGACACGCCGCUGCACCGGAAGGACCGGUUCAAGCUUGAAUCCUCCGUGGACUCGGACGCGGCGGCCGCGGCGGCGUUCGACCCGCUGUCAAACCCGAUGCUGCACUGCCUGGACGUGUUCCGGCGCAGCCUCCUCCGCGCCGGGAUGCAGCCCACCCCGCCGCCGGCGGCGCGGCUGUGGCUGAAGAAGUGGUCGGGGCUGCGGCGCGUGGCCGACAAGCGGCGGCAGCAGUUCGUGCACUGCGUGUCGGAGCUCCGUGAGGCGGGCAUCCGGUGCCGGCGGCGGCGCAACACGGACCGGUUCUGGGACAUCCGGUUCGACAAGGGGGUGCUCCACAUCCCGCGGAUCCUCAUCCACGACGGCACCAAGGCGCUGUUCCUGAACCUGAUCGCGUUCGAGCAGUGCCACAUGGACAUCGCGACGCCGGGCGGGAACAACAUCACCUCCUACGCCAUCUUCAUGGACAACCUGAUAAACUCGGCGGAGGACGUCAAGUACCUGCACGACCGGGGCAUCAUCGAGCACUGGCUGGGCAGCGACGGCGAGGUGGCGGAGCUGUUCAACCGGCUGUGCCUGGAGGUGGUGUUCGACAUCAACGACAGCUACCUCUCCGGGUUGUCGGACCAGGUGAACCGGUACUACGACCACAAGUGGAGCACCUGGGUGGCCAGCCUGCAGCACAACUACUUCACCAACCCGUGGGCCAUCGUCUCCGUCGUCGCCGGCGUCUUCCUCCUGCUGCUCACCAUGAUGCAGACCUUCUACAGCGCAUACAGCUACUAUCGCCCGCCGGCCUAG